UCUACAUCAGAAAAGGUCCAAUGUCC
rnacentral:piRNA from 1 species